CGCAUUCAGGCGGAGGGGUGGCGGCGGCGGUCGGGCUAGAGCCGCUCAGUCAGGCGGAGGGGUGGCGGCACGGCGCACUGGGGGUUCGUGGCGGCGCUCGGGCUGGAGCCGCGCAGUCAGGCGGAGGGGUGGCAGCGCGGCGCACUAGGGGGCUGGGGCUCGUCGGGGCGCGCCUCAACAGGUUGACAUUUUGGGAAACAAGGUUACUUCACUCUUAGCUCUUGCUAAAAAGAUAUACGUGACUCGAGAGCAUUAUUCUCCUGUUUUUCAGCAGUAUCCUGGGGUAAGUAUGACGUGUGACCAAUGCUAACUUUCUCAUCUUCCCUAUUUUUUUGUCAUGGAACUUGCUAUUCCUUGAGCAUUGCUGUUUCUUUGAAUGCAUGUAAAACCAGAUUGAAAUUAUCAGCACAAUUGGAAAGAAUGAACUUGUGCAGCAUUGCACCGAAAUAGUGCACAACUUUAUGCACAUGAUUAGAUGAAAAUGACAAAGGUAUGAAAAUAAUACUGUAACACCAGCAGGCAAUGAUUCGAAAUGUUUAGGUCUACAUUGAAGAAUAAUUAUGGAGUCUAACAACACCGGACAAAUAUGAUAAAAGAAGGAGACAAACUAUAUUUAUGGCCUAACAGAAAUAUAGGACUACUUGCUAUGACAGACGCAUAUCUAUGAUUCAGAACUAUCACUUGAGACUGGAAUUUCUUCUUCACUUUCUUGCAGUUGCAUAUCCCUGAUCUUGAUUUUGUUCAGCACACUGUAGAGGAUGUCACAUGGUAGCUGCCUCCUGAAAAUUUCUAUAUCUUUCUGUAUAUGUAUAGUAAAGUAGUUAAACAUGGAUCCAAAGAUGAAAUUUACAUUGCAUGUAGGAAUAAUAUCGAAAUCUUCACCUGUGAAAAUCUCUUGGACAGCUUGGAUCCCGACCAUAGUUGUAUGUACUUGAUGAGAAAAAGGCCACAUGAUGUCCUGAAUGAAUUAAUUAGGAUUUCAUUCGUUGAGUUUAUAAAAAGAAGAUUAGACAUUGGCGAUGAAUGUACAUACCCGUCUUUCUGCCUUGGCACAUGGUUGAUAUUUACGUGCUCCCAUGAAUUAACAUUUAAGUCUGGCCACCUAUUAAAUCUGUCCACUUCACGACCGCUAGGUACCAAUGUAACCCCACGUUAAGAGGCAGGAAUAUCUGCAUGAAGAUUGACGUGAGUGUCAACAGCAAAUAAAUACAUACAUACAUACAUACAUAUAUAUAUAUAUAUAUAUAUAUAUAUAUAUAUAGAGAGAGAGAGAGAGAGAGAGAGAGAGAGACAUAGACAUAAAUAUGCAUGGAAUAGGAAUUCUGUUGUACCAUGUCAUGCAAGAGCCAUUCAAUUGCCAAAUCUAUACAGCGACGUCUUUCAGGCCGUCCCAUGGAUGAUUCAUAAUGUAUUCUAUCUGAAGACAACUUUCGCACAAUUUGAGUAAUCUCCACAAGGACUCUUCCGUCAUCCCUUUCAUCGAUCAUGUUCUGAGACCGAUGAUGAAAGAUGGCCACAUCAAUGAUCUAGUAUUCGAUGCAAGACAAUACAAGUUAGAAUAUGUCAUAAUCCAGAAUUAAAAAAAAUAUACAACUCUUACGUCGUCACCCAGAUAUUUCUUCACAGAGUCUGUUGGAUAAUGUACAGUUAGGCAUUCUAGUAAUUUCUUUGUAAUUGUGACACUCUCUACGAUGGCCAAAGCCCGGGUAUCUCUUUGCUUGUUUACCCAAGCAAGUGUCUCAUCCACAUCAUCUGCAUUAGGAAUAUGAAGAACAAUUACAAGUUAUAGAAUGUGUUAUGAUUUGAAACAAGGUAUUUGCCGGAUAGUAGUACACACCAUUUUUUUCCUUUUCUUUGCGGCGUUCCCUCUUGGCGUGAUCAUAGUAGCAAAAUUCUGUUUUUUUGAAGGACGAUGUUGAUUUCCUCCCUGAGGGCCACGCAGCCGCUUGGCAAUACUGUUUCCUUUGCCUUCACCAUCUUCGUCCCCUUCCUCGUCGUCAUCUUUGUCCUUCUCAUCAUGGAUAUGCGUGCUGUGAGGACCUGUGUGCCAUUUACACUCGUCCCCGACUUGACAAUAUGUUUUCUAUAAUAGAAUCACAGGUUAAUCUGGUAGAAUUAAUUACUUGACAUAUGGAAACUGGUAGAAUUAAUUACUUGUAAAUUUACCUCAGUCUGUGUGAAGGGAAUAUCAGAAAAAACAAAACCCUUAUCCUGCAUAGAAAAUAAUUGUUGCUUGUAGCCAUAUGAAGAUGUUUAGGAUAAUAAUUGCAUUAUACAUAUAUAUGUUCAUAAGUGUGUGAAUAGGAUAGACCUCGAAGCCGUGGAGCAAACGGAGUACUAAAUUCCCUAGCUGCUUCACAUUGUGUUCAGUGUCGGCCAUACCAUGUACAAGUGGCUCGAACCACUUGUUUUCAUAAACGUAGUCAUUGUGAAUGUAUUUAUUCUCCAAAGCUCCUAGGCGAUGAAGAAUUUGUUUAAGUAUACUUUGAUCCUACAUAAACGUAUGAAGAUGAGUCAUAAUACAAUUUGUAUUUGUAAUAUGCAAAGUGUAGGUUCUCAGCUUCUUCCAGUUGUGCAUACAUGAACAUGGUUGGUGCUGUAGACGGGUCUAUGCAGCACAUAUUCUGCAUCACUUGUAAUAUCUUGGAUAAUCUAAUAUGAAAUAAAAAAUUAAUGGUUAGUUUGUGCAAAUAACGAACGAUCAUAUGAUAUAUACUUGCAAUGAACAUUUAGCAAAUCGUUUGCAUACAUCUCCAUCUCCGAAGUUGGCCUUCGUUCUCUGUGCCACCUUUGCUUCAGUCCAAUGUCGAAUUAGUGGUUUUUCACGCUGAGAAUAAUUGACCUCUAUCCCAUGUUUUGCUAUGUUGACAUAAAAUUUUUCCCAGUACCAUACCUGCAAUGCACCAGAAGGAAAAAAAUCAGAUAUGUACCAACACUUGUUAUAAAAUGAACUUAGUACUGAUUUGUUCUUACUUGUAGUAGAGAUAGGCUGCCGCAGAGGUUCGUUUGUCUUUUCGUCUUGUAUUGCCUAAUGCUCUCCAUGCCUAGCCCAAUUCACUUGUUUGAUGUCGUUGACAUCCAACAUGAGCUUUAAAUAGUCAGAGCUCACAGUUGCUUUCGUGGCUGGGCACAUGUGUCGGCAUAUGGCGCACAAAAGAAAUCUUCUAACGAAAUGUUCGUCUGUACUUCCUUUGUUUUCAUUAAUUUGUUCCACGAGUCCUUUGAAAGUUAUCGACCCUGUGGUAUCUUUGUAAUUAUUAAAUAGUUCAUGCUGUUUUUUUCUUCUUUGAGCCUCAACCUUCUCGUCUUUAUGUUUGGCUUUCACAUCUGGGGUCUCUCCCUCAUCUGGAAGGUCUAGGAUGUGUACUACAUCCUUUAACACCAUCCUUAUCUUAGUGUCGUUGCAUCAUCUUCAACACUGUAGCUACCUGCCACCUGCAUGCAGGCUUUCCUGCGAAUUUGGACAUUCGGUAUUUGUAAAAGCCCUCCUAGAUUGUAGCUUGCAAUUUCAUCUUUCUGUUUCUUGUCCAAGCAAUCAAUCAGUUCAUACAUGGCUGUUGGACUACAAGCCACUGUUUCCUACAGAACAAGGGAUUACGCAUGAGUUUUGGGCUCACACGAGGGAGAUUGGUCACUGGAGGGAGAUGGAUCCUGAUGGAAGACAAAACACAGAUUUCUUGCUCUUCGUCUGAGGGAAAAAGUUGGUCUCCAUUGGCGGCGGCGGCCCGGAACAGAACGAAAGAUUAGCUACGAGGCGGCGGCGGCUGGAACAGAACGAAGAUUAGCUAGAUGGCGUCGGCCGGGAAGAGAACUCAAGAUUGAUUUUCUGCCCGGAACAGAACUAAGGAUUGUAUAUAUAUAGAGACAGAAAAACCAGAUUUGAUGUAUCGUAACUGCCUAAUACCAGAUUUGAUUGUAACUGCCUAAUACAAGAUUGAUUUGAUUAUGCAUGCA